GUUUGUGAGGACUGAAUCUAUUACUUAGGAAGUGUGGGCUUAAAAAUAUUUUCUCCAGUUCACUGAGGAGCUCCCCUGUUCCUGCAAACAUUUUGCUCACCAUCAGUGACCCAGAUAUGGACACUACUUGGAGAGAAUUGGCUAAGCUAUCCCAAAAUCUCAGACUGCAAAUGUUAUUCAGGAACAGUGCAAAAAUGCAUGAGGCUACAAGCACAGCACCUUUGAAGUGGUGUAUGUUCAAGGAUGUAACAUCUGACUUCAGGAUGAAUUAACUUCAUGCUAGGAAAAAUUUCUUCACUGAAACAUUAAACAGGC
rnacentral:lncRNA from 14 species